rnacentral:sRNA from 1 species
GGAAGCAUCGAAGAUGAUCCAGAAUAUAAGAAGUUUUUAGAAACCUACUGUGUGGAGGAAGAGAAGACCAGUGCCAACCCUGAGACUCUGCUGGGGGAGAUGGAGGCGAAGACAAGAGAGCUCAUUGUUUAUACACAUGCUCUUCCAUGUCUUUAGAGAAUUCGAGAAGAGAAGCGAGAAGAACGGAGGAGGAGAGAGUUAGAAAAGAAACGUUUGAGGGAAGAGGAAAAAAGAAGAAGAAGAGAAGAAGAAAGAUGCAAAAAAAAAGAGACAGAUAAACAGAAGAAAAUUGCAGAGAAAGAAGUAAGGAUUAAGCUUCUUAAGAAACCAGAAAAGGGAGAGGAACCAACCACAGAGAAACCAAAAGAAAGAGGAGAGGAGAUUGAUACUGGAGGUGGCAAGCAGGAAUCCUGUGCCCCCGGUGCAGUCGUAAAAGCCAGGCUCGUGGAAGGCUCGCUGGAGGAGCCCCAGGAGACGUCACACAGCAGCAGUGAUAAAGAGCACAGGGAUGUGGAGAGAUCUCAAGAACAAGAAUCUGAAGCACAAAGACACCAUGUGGAUGACGGCAGGAGGCACAGAGCUCACCAUGAGCCUGACCGGCUUUCCAGAAGGAGUGAGGAUGAGCAGAGAUGGGGGAAAGGACCUGGCCAAGACAGAGGGAAGAAGGGGAGCCAGGACAGCGGGGCUCCAGGGGAGGCCGUGGAGAGACUGGGAAGAGCGCAGAGGUGUGACGACAGUCCAGCACCCAGAAAAGAGCGACUGGCAAACAAGGACCGGCCAGCCUUGCAGCUGUAUGAUCCAGGAGCUCGCUUCCGAGCGCGAGAGUGUGGCGGAAGCAGGAGGAUCUGCAAGGCAGAAGGUUCGGGGACUGGUCCUGAGAGGAGGGAAGAGGCAGAGUGAGUCACUGCACGCACCUGGCCUCCAUGGACGAGCGAGGGCAUCCCAGAAACGUGUAAAUGACCGUGAGUGUGACUGGGAAGGAGAACUUACUCCUUACCUGGAAACUGGAAGCUAAAAAUACAGAGGAUGACACAGAAACACGCAGAAACCAUUCUAAAGAAAGUAGUGAUCUUGUAUUAAAUUGAGCAGAAUUCUCACAGAUUUUACCAUUCCUGUUAUAAACUAGUAUUUGUUGUUUAGCCAAAACAGAAAAUGAUUUCCACUGGAUAGUAGAAAACUACGUGUAAAAUAGGGAAGAAAGUUAGUAUUGGAUCAGUGUGAGUCCUGAAGCACUUUCAGUGCUGUGAGAACGACAUCCACUUUGGGUUUCAUUCGUUUGUAAGCAGAGGAGCUGUCAGUCACUCGUGCUUCUCGGUGGCCUCUGAGCCAUAGUGUCGAGUAAAGAGCAGUUCUUGUUUGUUAAAACCUUUGUGAGUCAGCCAUGCCUGCAGAGUGUGCUGUGUUUUAGUCCUGGUAGGAAUAUUUAUCAGAGCUCACACUAUCUAAAACCCAACAGCUGCAACUAUUGCCCUUUCAACAGUUUUGCCACUGACCGGAUAAAAACGGUUUCAGUCUUUGGAUGGAUGUGUUUGUGGUUUGUAACUGUUAGGUUUAAACCAUGGUUUAAGAAUUUGCCCAAAUAACAGAAAUUUUGUUCGGGAAGGGAUAAACUAAGUAUAGCAUAUAGAGCAUGUGUUUGAGUUUUAGAUACUUUAUUUGUAAAUACUUAAAAUAGCUUUCUGAAACCGUGCAUUCUGUAGUUUCUUCCUUUCAGUGAAAUUGUUAAAUGUUAAUGUAUUUUUGGCACUGCGAUUUUAACCAUUUAUUAAAUAAAAAUUUUGUUAAAGAA